GUUGCUAACGCGUGAAGGCGAGCACUCUAGACGAACUGCCGUUGCAAAACGGAGGAAGGUGGGGAUGACGUCAAAUCAUCAUGCCCUUAUGUUCUGGGCUACACACGUGCUACAAUGGCCGGUACAGACGGACGCAAAGCCGCGAGGUGGAGCAAAUCCUAAAAAGCCGGUCUCAGUUCGGAUUGCAGGCUGCAAUUCGCCUGCAUGAAGUCGGAAUCGCUAGUAAUCGCAGGUCAGCAUACUGCGGUGAAUACGUUCCCGGGCCUU
rnacentral:rRNA from 1 species